GACGAACGCUGGCGGCGUGCUUAACACAUGCAAGUCGAACGGAAAGGCCCUGCUUUUGUGGGGUGCUCGAGUGGCGAACGGGUGAGUAACACGUGAGUAACCUGCCCUUGACUUUGGGAUAACUUCAGGAAACUGGGGCUAAUACCGGAUAGGAGCUCCUGCUGCAUGGUGGGGGUUGGAAAGUUUCGGCGGUUGGGGAUGGACUCGCGGCUUAUCAGCUUGUUGGUGGGGUAGUGGCUUACCAAGGCUUUGACGGGUAGCCGGCCUGAGAGGGUGACCGGCCACAUUGGGACUGAGAUACGGCCCAGACUCCUACGGGAGGCAGCAGUGGGGAAUAUUGCACAAUGGGCGGAAGCCUGAUGCAGCAACGCCGCGUGCGGGAUGACGGCCUUCGGGUUGUAAACCGCUUUCGCCUGUGACGAAGCGUGAGUGACGGUAAUGGGUAAAGAAGCACCGGCUAACUACGUGCCAGCAGCCGCGGUGAUACGUAGGGUGCGAGCGUUGUCCGGAUUUAUUGGGCGUAAAGGGCUCGUAGGUGGUUGAUCGCGUCGGAAGUGUAAUCUUGGGGCUUAACCCUGAGCGUGCUUUCGAUACGGGUUGACUUGAGGAAGGUAGGGGAGAAUGGAAUUCCUGGUGGAGCGGUGGAAUGCGCAGAUAUCAGGAGGAACACCAGUGGCGAAGGCGGUUCUCUGGGCCUUUCCUGACGCUGAGGAGCGAAAGCGUGGGGAGCGAACAGGCUUAGAUACCCUGGUAGUCCACGCUGUAAACGGUGGGUACUAGGUGUGGGGUCCAUUCCACGGGUUCCGUGCCGUAGCUAACGCUUUAAGUACCCCGCCUGGGGAGUACGGCCGCAAGGCUAAAACUCAAAGGAAUUGACGGGGCCCCGCACGAGCGGCGGAGCAUGCGGAUUAAUUCGAUGCAACGCGUAGAACCUUACCUGGGUUUGACAUGGAUCGGGAGUGCUCAGAGAUGGGUGUGCCUCUUUUGGGGUCGGUUCACAGGUGGUGCAUGCCUGUCGUCAGCUCGUGUCGUGAGAUGUUGGGUUAAGUCCCGCAACGAGCGCAACCCUUGUUCACUGUUGCCAGCACGUUAUGGUGGGGACUCAGUGGAGACCGCCGGGGUCAACUCGGAGGAAGGUGGGGAUGACGUCAAGUCAUCAUGCCCCUUAUGUCCAGGGCUUCACGCAUGCUACAAUGGCUGGUACAGAGAGUGGCGAGCCUGUGAGGGUGAGCGAAUCUCGGAAAGCCGGUCUCAGUUCGGAUUGGGGUCUGCAACUCGACCUCAUGAAGUCGGAGUCGCUAGUAAUCGCAGAUCAGCAACGCUGCGGUGAAUACGUUCCCGGG
rnacentral:rRNA from 1 species